rnacentral:lncRNA from 1 species
CUUCCUCCAUGCAGACAGCAGUAGGAUGGCUGGAAGGCUUGGUCUAAAAAUUAAAAAAAAAAAGAUAGAUGAAAGUGUGGAGAUAAUAGAGAAGACGGGUAGUGGUACUAGGAUUAGGACCUCUCUUAGAUUUAGUGGAAGGAAUGCUAGGGUUAGGAUCUCCAAUAGUCUUUUUGAAAUGUGGACAAGAGAUCUAUGGAGGACUAUGGUGGC